UACGGAGGGUGCGAGCGUUGUCCGGAAUCAUUGGGCGUAAAGCGCGCGUAGGCGGCCCAGUAAGUCCGUUGUGAAAGUCAAAGGCUCAACCUUUGAAAGCCGAUGGAUACUGCUGGGCUCGAGUCCGGAAGAGGCGAGUGGAAUUCCUGGUGUAGCGGUGGAAUGCGCAGAUAUCAGGAGGAACACCAAUAGCGAAGGCAGCUCGCUGGGACGGUACUGACGCUAAGGCGCGAAAGCGUGGGGAGCGAACAGG
rnacentral:rRNA from 1 species